rnacentral:rRNA from 1 species
UACGUAGGGAGCAAGCGUUGUCCGGAUUUAUUGGGCGUAAAGCGUCUGUAGGUGGCUUUUUAAGUCCGCCGUCAAAUCCCAGGGCUCAACCCUGGACAGGCGGUGGAAACUACCAAGCUGGAGUACGGUAGGGGCAGAGGGAAUUUCCGGUGGAGCGGUGAAAUGCGUAGAUAUCGGGAGGAAUACCGAUGGCGAAGGCAGGUCUCUGGGCUGACACUGACGCUCAUGCACGAAAGCGUGGGGAGCAAACAGG